ACUCCUACGGGAGGCAGCAGUGGGGAAUAUUGCACAAUGGGGGAAACCCUGAUGCAGCCAUGCCGCGUGUGUGAAGAAGGCCUUCGGGUUGUAAAGCACUUUCAGCGAGGAGGAAAGGUUGGCGCCUAAUACGUGUCAACUGUGACGUUACUCGCAAAAGAAGCACCGGCUAACUCCGUGCCAGCAGCCGCGGUAAUACGGAGGGUGCAAGCGUUAAUCGGAAUUACUGGGCGUAAAGCGCACGCAGGCGGUUGGAUAAGUUAGAUGUGAAAGCCCCGGGCUCAACCUGGGAAUUGCAUUUAAAACUGUCUAGCUAGAGUCUUGUAGAGGGGGGUAGAAUUCCAGGUGUAGCGGUGAAAUGCGUAGAGAUCUGGAGGAAUACCGGUGGCGAAGGCGGCCCCCUGGAC
rnacentral:rRNA from 1 species